UACUCCCGCCGGCGACCGGCGCACGGGUGAGUAACACGUACGAAACCUGCCCGUAGCAGGGGGAUAAGCGGAAGAAAUUCCGUCUAAUACCGCGUAACAACCCGAGGAGGCAUCUCCUCGGGUUUAAAGGAAGCGAUUCCGGCUACGGAUGGUCAUGCGUCGCAUUAGCUAGUUGGCGGGGUAACGGCCCACCAAGGCGACGAUGCGUAGGGGUUCUGAGAGGAAGGUCCCCCACACUGGUACUGAGACACGGACCAAACUCCUACGGGAGGCAGCAG
rnacentral:rRNA from 1 species